UUUGUUUAUUUUGUUUGAAGGCACAACCUUUGGCCUAUGUUGAGUGAUUUAGUCAGUUCACAUGUGGCAGAGAGCAAUUCCCGGAGGAUUAGCUCAGGUUCCGAAACAAUCACUUGGCGCAUGAUAUAUGGAAUGAACGAUAGUUUUGGGUGUCUUUACUUGUGAGUACCAGGCACCAGUAGGCGUAAAUCCAACCAAAGAAUCAUCAGAAUUGAUUAUCUAAUUCCCCAACAGUUAUUAGAGACAAUGAAGAGGUUCGACCAAAGCAUCCUCCCGCUGCUCGACACCGAUGUCUUCCCAGCAUCCUCCCGCUAACCGAUAUGUUCCCAGGAGCAUCAGCACAGGACAUAACAGGGCAGCAUAGGACAGCUCUAGCUGGUGCUGCAUAUGCAAAGCCAAAUCUAAUGGUUACCACUGUAUAUAUAUAUAUCUCAGAGCCAAUCACAAAACAGAGCCAAGACUUUAGGAGCGACACUGCAUUAUAUGAGCAUGCUUAAUUCUGUAAAUAGACAAGGAAUAGGUAGACCAUGCAAAUGUACAAGGGAAUUACAGGGAAGAUAAACAAGGUUGAUUGCAUGUGAACCAUAUGAAUACAUAGCUGUUUCUAGAUGGCACAAACAAGAGUUAUAUAAAAACACAAGAAAGUCAUUAGAGAGGGAGAAGGGGAAGGAGUGAGGGAGAGAGAGGCAGGCAGAGAGGCAAAUUGUUAGCUCAAAUCCUCAAAAGUUGAAGAGGGACAAAUAGACAGAGAGAGGUGUGUUUCACUAGAGCCCCUCCGAUUUUUCCUCAUUCAAAAUGUUAGGUUAACCAAAUCUCGCAGCCUGCCUAGCCUA